rnacentral:rRNA from 1 species
CCUACGGGUGGCAGCAGUGAGGAAUAUUGGUCAAUGGGCGCGAGCCUGAACCAGCCAAGUAGCGUGAAGGAUGACUGCCCUCCGGGUUGUAAACUUCUUUUAUAAAGGAAUAAAGUGAGGCACGUGUGCCUUUUUGUAUGUCCUUUAUGAAUAAGGAUCGGCUAACUCCGUGCCAGCAGCCGCGGUAAUUCGGAGGAUCCGAGCGUUAUCCGGAUUUAUUGGGUGUAAAGGGAGCGUAGAUGGGUUGUUAAGUCAGUUGUGAACGUUUGCGGCUCAACCGUAAAAUUGCAAUUGAUACUGGCAGUCUUGAGUACAGUUGAGGUAGGCGGAAUUCGUGGUGUAGCGGUGAAAUGCGUAGAUAUCACGAAGAACUCCGAUUGCGAAGGCAGCUUACUAAACUGCCACUGACACUGAUGCUCGAAAGUGUGGGUAUCAAACAGGAUUAGAUACCCUUGUAGUC